AAUGAUUUCCUCUAGGUGAUGAAGGUGGUUAUGGUAAGAAGGGGAAGGGCCAUCGUAAGGAUAAGGUAAUUGAUGUUUUCUGUUGUGAAAUGUGAAUUUCUCUGGUAGAUAAAUAGCAGUAAAUAAUAUAUUAGGAAUCAUGUAGGUCAAUGAGGAGGAAAAGGGCAGUGAAUCAUGGCAUGAUGAAGAAGAGGACGAGGAUGAGGAAGUGAAUGGACUAUGGUGCAAGAGCGGCAAAGGGGGUAGGCUUCCUGAUGAAGUAUACAGGGUAGUUAGUUUAACCAAUUGAAGUAUGUUGAAUUUAUUUUAUGUAGUUAAUUUUACUGAAUGAGAUUGCAAUAGCAGGUUAAUAAAUUAAGUGUUGGUGGAAGGUUGAAGGAGAGUGGGGAAGUGAUUGCUAGCCGGGUGCUACUUAACAAUAAAAGGGAAGUGAAUUUCAAUUGCCGAGUCGAGACAUUUGGUCAAAUCGUAAAGCAAUUUGAUGAGAGGAAAAAGCGUUUGGUGGCUGAAAUGGGGUUUGCUGGAUUAUUGCACUUUGUGGAUAAGGGUUUGCCGAGGAAUUUAUGUUAUUGGUUGUGCACAAUGGUAGAUGUGAAGAGGAGGGUAUUGGUGUUG